UACGGGGGGGGCAAGCGUUGUUCGGAAUUACUGGGCGUAAAGGGCUCGUAGGUGGCCAACUAAGUCAGACGUGAAAUCCCUCGGCUUAACCGGGGAACUGCGUCUGAUACUGGAUGGCUGGAGUAUGGGAGAGGAAUGCGGAAUUCCAGGUGUAGCGGUGAAAUGCGUAGAUAUCAGGAGGAACACCGGUGGUGUAGACGGCUCUCUGGACCGUAACUGACGCUGAGGCACGAAAGCGUGGGUAGCAAACAGG
rnacentral:rRNA from 1 species